UACGUAGGGGGCAAGCGUUGUCCGGAUUUAUUGGGCGUAAAGCGCGGGCAGGCGGCCCGGUAAGUCGGCCGUGAAAGCGCCGGGCUCAACUCGGCGAGGACGGGCGAGACUGGCGGGCUAGAGCAAGGCAGAGGGCGGUGGAAUUCCGGGUGUAGUGGUGGAAUGUGUAGAGCUCCGGAGGAACACCAGUGGCGAAGGCGGCCGCCUGGGCCUUUGCUGACGCUGAGCCGCGAAAGCGUGGGGAGCGAGCCGG
rnacentral:rRNA from 1 species